GCACCAAACUACUAUGUAUUUUAUCAGUUGGUGGUGUGACAUUUUUCCAUUGACAACUCACGUUUAGACACAUUAUGUUACAAAUAAAAGUCAAAUUUCAUUCAAUAUGUGCGUGUAAUUUUUUUUAUAAUGAAGUGUUCCAAGUGCGCUAAAAAGUGCCCUUUUCCCCCCUGAGCACUUGCCCCCCAAAAUGUCUGUGCACGCCACUGACUUAUUUAUACGAGGGGAUCUGUCCUCCUCAACUUAUAAAUGAAUGUUAAAAACUUAGGUCUUAUAUAUUUAGGUGAAUAUCCGUAUCAGCAAAGGAAGCAUUUAGGAAAUUACUAGUAAGAGUUAAUGUAAACUUCAGUGUAGUCAGUAGUGGAGAGUAAGCCACUAGUCCGAGGCAGGUGGCAAAAACGACAGCUGACCUGCAGUGGGUGAUGUGAAAGACUGAGACUUUGAACUGCUGCUGAUUCAGCAUUGCCAAAUAGCCAGCACAAAGCACAGCAACUCAGUUCCAAUACAUCAGAUAACAGUAGCCUUGUGCUGAUCGAAAUACAUUUUGGAGUUAUGAGGGAAACCCUCCAAAAGCUAACCUAAUCAAGACUGUGUCUCAGCCCUGAAUAUUUUAAGGAAAUUGGAAUUUUACAGAGUUGGGGAGCUUUAUGACAAUAUGUACUUCAGAAUUGGGGAGAUUAAAGAGCAAAGGAUGGGUCAGUGUAGUAUUCGGGCACAGACACAGAUGAGCAAGCAGAGUUGUAGGGUAUACUGGAGGUCAGGUCUGGAGCGGAGUAGAGUUUAAAACAUUACCAAUUAAAAACUGCAGGCUGUGUAGACCAGCACUGAACAACACACACUCUGUUUUUCUGUUUGAACAGAUCUGUUUAAAAUAGACUAUUAUUCGUUCUAUAAAACCACAUUCAGUUACAUUAGCUUGCUAGUACUUAUAUUAUGCAAUUAUGCUUUUUUAUUCUCUCUCUUUCUCCCUCUUCCACUUUCUUUCAGGCCGCUGCCCCUCGACCCCAGCCUGGGGUGAAAGGCUCAGGAGGAUCUGUUGCAGGUUGGCCGGUGAGUUACUGACUGUCCACCUGUCUGACCCGAUACCGAUGGAUGUUGGACCCCCAGGCUCUCAUGUCCUCUGUCCGGCCAGACUGAUGAAAGUUCUGAAGUCAGCUCUUUUCCAUCACCCACCACAGAUCAGCUCCUCAUCAUCCAUCUUACUCUCCACUACUGAUUACAUCCAAGCUUACAUGUACUCUAACUGCUUCCAUUAGUGGCACUGCUAUACUCUCUCCUGUGUGGAUGUAUAAAGACUUUUUAAAAUUAAUUUAAAAGCUGUUUGACCAGUGGUAGGAUGCCCCCCCUUGUAUUCUGUAUUUUCUAUGUUUUUUAUGUUUUGCCUGAUUCUUUUUCCUGUGAUCAUGUUUCUAUAAAGCUGCUUUGUGACACCAGUUGUAAAAAGUUGAUUUGAUUUAUUUUUAUUUACAUUAAUAAUUUACUUUAUUUUAUUUACAUGACAUAAUUAUUCUAAUGUACAAACCAGAAGAAUGUGGGGUCAGCUUAGUUUAUUCCUUGAUUUUAUUGAAUUUAUCUAACAGAGAAUAUGAGCUAGAGCAGUAGAGAUGUAGAGGUAUUCUCUAAUAGAGAUGAUAAUGUGUCUCUGAUACCGUAUAAUUCACUACAGUUAGAUCUAGAAUAUGGACUGUAGUAUAGAGCUUAGGUGUGUUAUGUUGUAUCAUACAUAAUAAUAAUAAUAACAAAAACAUUGUGUGAUAAUAGCAGUAUUCUGUAUUAAAAGUGCAUUAAUUAGUCUAUUCUGUAUUAGUUUAGUUUUUUAUUGUG
rnacentral:lncRNA from 1 species